GCUACUUGGAUAGAAACAAUGAUUGGAUCUCGGAAUCAUAGCCUCGGGAUUCAGCCGAAGCCAGCCAACAAAGCCUGAGCGCCGGCGGAGAUCCAGUUUGGAUCAGCGGAACGGACCCUGACCGUGACGAAGUUCCUCAGCGCAAAGGCGAAUAAGGAUUAUCUGGCGAGCUGGAUUGAAGUUCCUACUACGAUGGGUUGGUACUCGGAGAAUCACCGACUGGUGGUGUGCGAAAACAUGUAUUUAUACCAAGGGGCCUCUACACAAGCAAAAGUCUUCCUUUUUAAUGCUAAUGUCUGAUCUAUGCUUCUCCUUCCGGACAUUCUAUCUCUGGACAAUCUUCAUUGUUUCGCCACGUAGC
rnacentral:sRNA from 1 species